GUAGGGAAUAUUGGGCAAUGGAUGCAAGUCUGACCCAGCCAUCCCGCGUGCCGGAAGAAGGCCCUCAGGGUUGUAAACGGCUUUUGACGGUGAAGAAUCGACAGGAUGCGUCCUGUUUUGACGGUAGCCGUUGAAUAAGCACCGGCUAACUCCGUGCCAGCAGCCGCGGUAAUACGGAGGGUGCGAGCGUUGUCCGGAUUUAUUGGGUUUAAAGGGUGCGUAGGCUGGAAGGUCAGUCAGCGGUGAAAAGCUGUCGCUUAACGAUAGUCUUGCCGCAGAUACUUCCUUUCUUGGAUGAGGAGGAGGCCACUGGAACGGAUGGUGUAGCGGUGAAAUGCAUAGAUAUCAUCCAGAACACCGAUUGCGAAGGCAGGUGGCUGUACCUUAAUCGACGCUGAUGCACGAAAGCAUGGGGAGCAAACAGGAUUAGAAACCCCGGGUAGUCC
rnacentral:rRNA from 1 species